ensembl:lncRNA novel transcript
ACAAAAAGCUUCAAGACACAUAGUUUGUUGGGCUUGUCCCACAUGGUCGCAUAAUCUGCUCAUGUGUGAAUUUCACAAACGACUCGUAUUGCUCUGCUAGUUUGGUAUUGAGGAUUUUCUCAUACUCCUCCCAAAUCUUCUCUUCAUAGUUUGAGAGACGUGUACAUAUUGUUCUAGCUUGCCGGAGGGCCAAGGUGGGCUGGUCCAUCUUCACCCAGGAGAAACCUGCAGCACUGGGUGCUGGGUGCUGAGGACUGAGGCUGGCUUUCCUAAGCACAAGCUGCUGCAGGGUCGCGGUGGGGUUUGCGUCUGAAACGCCGGCGGUGGCUCGGCGUCCCAGGGCCUGGGGCCCGGAGCCGGGCGGGGAAGCGGGGAGUGGCGCGGCCGCUUUGGGGAACCAGGCUCAGCAGCGUCGCCUCGAGCUCCGUGGGCUGCUUCGGUGUCGCCCCGCUCGCCAUGUGGCCGGGGACCGGGAGGGGACGCGGCAGUAGUUGCGUCCCAACCUCCGGACUCCUCAGCGGGGCUCUCAAGCCCAGUAGGCUCCAAUCCGUUGAGUUCCUGUUUU